rnacentral:tRNA from 1 species
GGUUCCGUAGUGUGUGGUUAUCACGCCCGCUUCACACGCGAAGGUCUCCGGUUCGAUCCCGGACGGAACCA